GCCAGCAAGAAAUACCGCAUUUUCAUUCAUGCUGCUUCUUUUUCAGAUUGAACGUGCCUGACCAGGCAAUCCUCAUUAAACACCAGUGCAAUCAAAUUAUACUGCGUGAGGGCUACAAAACAUGGAUCAUUAAACUCAACAAAUAGUGGUUUGGAUAACGUUGGUAGGAAUUCUGUCGCAGCAACAUCCUGAGGCAGAGUGAUGCUUUCUUGCUCCGUCAUUCCGGAAGUUUAGUUUUUGAUGUGAUUCAUUUCUCAGAGGACCGUCAGCAAGCACGCAUGCCAUGGACAGAUCCAUUACCUAAUAUUUUACAUCUAAAGCCGUCCUUUGAAUCAGAAAUGAAUAGAAAACUAAGAAUAGUACGACAGCGAGUUUUAUCAUCAUUGAAACCAGAUUUUGCGCACAACUUAACUGAAGGAGCGUGUUUCUAUCAGAUUGUUACAGGGCACAAUCGACAUAAAUUUGUAAGUUUUUAAUUACUUUUUAAUGCAUCUUCCUGUGAUUAUUCUGCAGCAAU